CUGUAUUGCAAAUAUGAGCUGUUUGGAUGAGAAAAAAAUUAAUGAGGAUAAAUAAUUAUUCAAUUGCAGGAAAGCAUACAGUGCAUUCAUACAUUUAAAUAUAUAUGCCAUGCCAUUUUGGCAAAAUAUUAGAAUGUCUUUGAUAAAUCGGCUAUUGUGAGUUACGAUGACAACUAUUUAUAUAGAAGCCAUGAUAUGGUAACAAAAACCCGGAG
rnacentral:lncRNA from 1 species